rnacentral:rRNA from 1 species
AAACCAGCACCUCAAGUGGUCAGGAUGAUUAUUGGGCCUAAAGCAUCCGUAGCCGGCUCUGUAAGUUUUCGGUUAAAUCUGUACGCUUAACGUACAGGCCGCCGGGAAUACUGCAGAGCUAGGGAGUGGGAGAGGUAGACGGUACUCGGGAGGAAGUGGUAAAAUGCUUUGAUCUCUCGAUGACCACCUGUGGCGAAGGCGGUCUACCAGAACACGUCCGACGGUGAGGGAUGAAAUCUGGGGGAGCAAACCGGAUUAGAAACCCCAGUAGUCC